UACGAAGGGGGCUAGCGUUGCUCGGAUUGACUGGGCGUAAAGGGCGCGUAGGCGGUUCGUACAGUCAGACGUGAAAUUCCUGGGCUCAACCUGGGGGCUGCGUUUGAUACGUGCGGACUUGAGUGCGGAAGAGGGUCGUGGAAUUCCCAGUGUAGAGGUGAAAUUCGUAGAUAUGGUGAAGAACACCGGUGGCGAAGGCGGCGA
rnacentral:rRNA from 1 species